rnacentral:rRNA from 1 species
UACGGAGGAUCCAAGCGUUAUCCGGAUUUAUUGGGUUUAAAGGGUGCGUAGGUGGCCUGUUAAGUCAGGGGUGAAAGACGGUAGCUCAACUAUCGCAGUGCCCUUGAUACUGAUGGGCUUGAAUGAACUGGAGGUAGGCGGAAUGUGACAAGUAGCGGUGAAAUGCAUAGAUAUGUCACAGAACACCAAUUGCGAAGGCAGCUUACUAUGGUUUGAUUGACACUGAGGCACGAAAGCGUGGGGAU